GUUGAAAUGAAAUGGAUACGUGAUUUUGUGGAUGCGUUGGCACAUACAGGAAGGGAAGCCUAAUGUCCUUUCUGUAACAGUCAGAGCAUCCUGAGCUACCAUGUGGCAGCUUGGUGCAGCACAGAAAGUCCUGGCUGGAUCUGAGUUGCAGCUUGUGUGAUAAGGCAUACGCAGAGACUGGAAGUCUUCUAGUGCAACAGGGUCAUUAACUUCUGCUGCUCAGGAGAUAUUAACAAAACCGUAAGAUUUUGUUCAGCUCAGUUUUGUUCCGUUUGCGCUCAGCUCAGAUGCCCGGCCCUUCCACGUCCCACGAGGAUCCCGGCUGGUGCUUGCACUUGCUGUAGGAGGACCUUCACCGGGAGAGGGGUUAGCUGAGACCCUAGCAGGCUCUCGUGUUGGCUGCUGACUCUCCCGUCGCUGAGCUGCUGACGGACAGUGUCUUGCAGAGACAUCUACGCCCUGCUGAGCAAACACCAGAUGCUGCUAUGAGGAAGAGAGCAGUAGGAAUUGGUAGAAAUGCUGUGAAAUCCUGGACUCAGGAGCUGCAAAACACCCCACGCCGUGCAGAGACCGGUUCCUCUUGAAGGUACGUCUUGGCUCCAGGGAAAAAAGAUGAUUACAAACAGGUAAGCAACACCUCACGUGUUAUGCUUCAAUACGUACUUGUACUCCGGCCUGAACUGAUCUGGAAACACAAGCAAGCCUUUGCUUUGCUAGGGAGAGGAACAUCAAGAUAAUUACGGGUUGGGGAGGAAAGAUGCAAUGCUCACAGUGGGGGCAAGUGGAUUUCGAGGAGGAGGGCAGAAACCCACCCACCUGUAACUGGAGUCAGCUCCUGCAAGGCAAGCAAGCUGCCAAGCGCUCCUCUGAGGAGGACAUCCUUGGCUAAACCUCCGUCAGCCAGGACGGGGGUAAGGGAUGAAGGGAUGAGGCUGAGAGAUGCUCAAGGCACAGGAUUUCCUCUUUGCAAAUAAGGGCUCGGAGCUUCUUAAAGCGGUACCGUUUUGGUGGGGUCGGUGCCUGUGGCCGCUGGAGAAGUCAGUAACAGCGCUACAGUGGGGUGUAAGGAUUAAAUGGAAAGUUAAACCAGGGUAGAGGGGACUUGCACAGCUUCCCUGUGAAACGAUAAGGGGUAAUUAGGACAGGGCAAGAUGUUAGAACCUACAUGACUUAGCACCCUCUUCUGCCCCUUCUCCUUUGCUUUGAUGAAGAAUAGGACACCCUGGCAGUGUCCCUGGCUAAUGUGGGGGUGUUGGUGCAGAAAUUGGGGGAGAGCAGCCUUCUUCCUCUCACCCCUGCCCCGUACCCCAAGCAGCAUCAGGGCCUGGUGCUCUCCAGUGUGUUUAACUUCGCUCUGUGUAUUGCCAGAGUGUGUUAUUAAGAAAUAAGGCUCUGCCUUUUUAUCAUUCCUCUGAGCGUCUGUCUGAUGUCAUUCUGUCUGGCAACCGAGCGAUCAAAAGAAGCUCCCCUGGGAGAAAUUUCUCAAACAAACAGCCAGUAAGAAAAAAAUAAUACCCCAUUAAAUAUAAUAAAAUGCAAAAACCACAGCGUCUCCCUGAUAAAUGAACAGGCAGUGUAACCUAGACUCCGAACAGAGAAACUUGCCUCCUGCCAUUUGCCCGGAGCAAGGAUGUAGCGUGCCCUGCGCUUACCUGGACGAUUACCCUUAAGCGAAGCUAUUUUGCAGCCUGAGAUCACGAGGCUCGAGUCCAGGAUCUCACAGCGCAGGCGUUUUGGCCACCAACACCCGCUACCAUCGCUCCCACCUGUGCAGAGCCUUCGCGUGCCACAGCGGCACGCUGGGACCUGCAGAUCAAGCAGGUUUAACUCCUAAUGUUUUUAAGCAGAUUGGGGUGGGUUUUUUUGCCUUUGUAUAAGGCAUACGUAUGCCUGCAAAGCAAAUUCUGGCUCUGCUCCUCCAUAUUCCUUACUCCUGGCAGGUUGCAAGGGUGACAAACACCCUGUUGCCAGCCCUGCGAACCCCUGGGACGUGUAUAGGCUUCUAGUUCGGGCAGCUCUGAUUUCUCUUUGCUUCGUGCAGCGCUGUCACAGUCCUAAAAGACCUGCUCACCCAAACAGGUAAGACCGACUAAAUUUAAUGCAACCUGAUGCACAGCUUCAUCCCCCCCACACAUUGGGAAAAACCCUAAAUGCCGACACACUUCACGGCCACGUUUUUGAAAGGAAAACGACCAAACAGUGACUUGAGCCUGGAUUUGGAAAACAAAGAUAGGAGCAGAGCGUUUGAAGAGGAGCUGUCGUGGAAGGGAGCGUAUGCGCUGAUGAAAAGCCGCCCAUUUGAGCUGGGUCCCAGCUGAAUUAUCUUGGAUCCAUCACUCACACAUCUGUAGCUGUGAUCCUCCUUUCCAAGCUGCUUCUCCUCGGGGCACUUUGCAGAGGUCAUUCCUCUUUGCAAGCCUCAUUCCCUCUUGCCUUGCAAAUCUCUCUGCCAUUUUCUUCCCUCCUGCUGGGAGGUUUCAGGGCCUUCAGCAGAGCCCCUCUCCUCCUUUUCCCCAACAAAACCUCCUGCUCUUUGCUCAGCUUUGCUGGGAAACUUCCCACGAGCAGCUCUGCCCAUCCACAGCCAUAAAAACCAGGUCCGUUUUCAUCGUAGGGGCCCGAAGCGGUGAGCAGAGCUCGCUCUUGCUGACAGCCUGAGGCUGGGGAGAGCAUCCCACAGCCCCGAAAUGAGGCGUCGGUGGUUUCUUUGCUGUUUUGCAGGAUCACCGCUGCAGGGCUGAGACGAAACUCAGCACAGCACUUCCCAGGGAGCAGCUCCAGCAAAGCUGGGAGGGGGGUAACAAGAAGUAUCUUCAGCUCAACGCACAUUCACAAAAUCUGGCAGGAUUGUACCAAAAGCAUCCCUGCUGCCUGCAGGAUCUCGACCCUGAUGCACAGCUGCCACGCCGGGGCUGGGGUCUCAUGGGUUUAGGGUAGUGCCAGGGGUCGCAGCAAUCUCAGGACACACAUACACCAUUUCCAUUUUUUCCCAGGGUGGGAAAACCUUUGGAAAUCCCUGGGGAAUUUCUCUUUUUUUCCUGCUGCUCGAGGCCAGUUUCCUUCCUCGCAGAUUGCAGGGUCCCAGGCAAUACAAAGAGCAACUCGCCAGCUAGAACCAACUGUCCCACCAGGUCUUUCAGCCAUUUCACGGAGGGGGGGUUACUGCUUCACGCCUCCCCCAGGCAGCCCCGUGCGUCCCCUGCCACCGCCUAUGUCCUUUGCGGUGAGAGGGGAAACUGAGGCACAGACGUGACCUUUUCUUUUGAAGAAGGAGACCUUCUCCAGACCUCUGCAUGACUGGAAGAGAUGGGGCAAAUACCCCCAUGUGCCAGAGAGGGAUUUUCCAGCACUUAUGUGGCCAGGAUCAGGGCAGAAGCGAGACUGGCUGCCAUCAGAGCGACAAAGAGGAAAGGUGGAAUGUGGAUCGCGAGAGGAGCAGCCACCUUUCAGGCCAACAGCUGCUUUGGGGGAUGGGUUAGAUAAACGUGCAGGAUUUCCAAUCAGCCCUACACAUCGCGGCCAGAAGACUUCACCGGAGCACGGAUGCAGGGGAAUGGCUGACUCUGAUAGCGCCGCGUUCAUCUCGGGUGAUCGCGGCUCGCAAACCCACCCGCAGAGGUGCCACUUGGCAGCUUGGGACGCGAAGGAGAUGGCAGAGAGAAAACCACGUCAGCUUGCUUUGGAAAGGGCUGAAACACAGAGGGAUCUCCUCCAAGACAUCUUUUGCUGCUUUUGGAUGCUAGGGCUGUCCCCGUGGGAGGAACCAACCCAUCUUCGAAGCACUUGCACGCUAGGCGAGGCCGAGGGGUGGUUUUUCCCCCCCGUGGCUCGCGAUGGGGGACGGAGGUACGGCGGGGCUGCAGCCCCAGCUCGCGUGGGGAGGACGCAGCAGGCUCAGCAAUGAAUCUCUCCGGGUGCUUUCCCGUCAACCUGCCGCUGUUACCCCGCUUGGCUGGCCACCCGCUUUCCGUGGCGGCGAUGGGACGCCUGGGCAGCGGAGGGGUCACCCCAAUGCGUUCAUCAAAAGGAGGUGGCACCCAGGGAAGGAGGAUUCGCAGCCAUCGCCUCGCCGUGGGCAGGCUGGAGAAGAGCCAUGUCUCUGGACAGACGGAAGGACUCCGCUCCCCACCUGGCAGCGCAGGACCAUCUCCAAAUGACUUUCCAGCCACAAGCCGUGUCACCGAAGCGCCUCUGCCACCGACGCGCUGUGCAACGAGGUGUUACCGCUUAGUGGGUGGAGAGCCUCGCACGUCGAGAGGAGAUCUUGUGGGAAGUUUGGAUUUCUUCUUCUUCCCCCUCCCCUGCAGCCGUCCCCUCCCCACUUCCCACCCAGCCGCCCAACUGCAUGUGCAGUGGGAAAGGAAACAGCCCCGGGGACACACGCUGGUCUGAAUUUCCAUCUGGGCACAGUAUAACACAGCCCCGGGAAUGGCCAGGCACGCUAUGAUCUUCCACUCUCCAAAAUCAAAGCAAGGCAAAAGCUGUCUCUCCUUUUUCCUUCUUGCCAAGGGCUAGAAAUCCCAUCAAGAUCCAAAGCGUAUCAUUCCAGUGGGAGAUUUAUACUGGGGGAAGGGGCAGAAUUGGUUAUUUGAUGAUUGGGUUGGGGUUUUUUUUAGAAGUCCUUAAUAUCUCCCUUCCCUCCUUCACUGUACAGCACAAAUCCCCUUUCCAACACAUGCACGAGAGCAGAGCUGAACCGUUCGCACAGAAAACAGGUGAUAAAUCACGGGGCAAUUGAUUCAAACCAUUCCAGGGAAUGGGAAACACAUGGACGGUCUUUCUAAUUAACUGUUUGAUAUGGCUGCGGUGAGUUUGGGUGUAGUUUCCAAUGUUUUGCAUUUGGCUCGUCUCAGCCCUCUCCAUGGUAACUGCACUGUACCGGAAAGUGAGAAAAUCCUGCAUUCGAGAGAGCUGAAGUGACUUGGUACAGUUCAGCUCAACCACAAUAAAAAAGAAAAAGAAAAAAAAAAAAGGUUAAAAAAAAGUAAAUACGGUGUUUCCUCUGUGGGAACGUUCCCUUCUCUUUCUCUUUGCAGCUGGAAAAACAAAACAAAAUAAAAGGUCCUUCUGCUUUAUUUGUAAAUCUCCACUUUCUGGUGGGUUACAGAGCGUUCGGACCCGUUGCCCACCGAGACACACGCCGAGGCUUGCAGCUCAGGGCAAGGUCCCUCUGCCGGCUCUCCCACCCGUGCGUAGAUGCCGACCGAGGUACCCAAAGAGCCCAUCGAUCGCCCCUUCUCAGGCAAACCGCCCACCAAAACACCCCAGCAGUGUCAGGCUGAGACCCCUUCCCACCCACGCUGCUCAGCGCAUCGGUCUGCGCGUCUCACGCAAGGCACAUCUACGGGUUUCUUUUUAGUUGCAGGCUGGCACCUUGCACCGAGGGGUCACCGUCUGGGUCUGGGGUUGCAGGGUGCUACCCCCAGCAGGGCAGAGGGGGCUCCAGGUACGCGUUGCAUGCGUUUAGCCCUGAUUUAUGCUGUCAAAGUAACCAAGCUUUUUAAUUCGUGGUUAAUUCACAGCGACUCUUUGACUCAAGAAGCUCCGUUAAGGACACAAAAUGCUCCAAGAGGCGGUUGUGUGUUUUGGAAGAGCCUUGCAGGAUGUGCAGAGACAUUAAACCUGCGUGUUUCUCCCAUGGGAGGCUGGAGCUGAGCAGGUACCCACGGGACAAACCCCGGGGGCGUCCGACCGCCGGGAAGGGGAGCUGCUUUGCUGACGCCCGCAGCACCGAAGUCAGGACGGAGCGGGCCUGGAGGAGUUAGGGGUGACGCAGGGCCCAAGGACUGGGUGCUGCGAUGGCUGCCGAAAGUGGUUUGCAAACAACAGGAGGACGGGGAAGGGUGGGCUGGGGAGGGCAGAGACCCGCCAGGGCCACCCGAGUCACUCUGGACGGGGUUAGGAGGAUGCCCUGGGGACACUCACCCGAACCAAACCUGUACACGUCCUGCCGACACCUCCGGAGUAGCCUUAAAAUGUAAUUUAGAAAGGAAUAAAGGCUUU